rnacentral:rRNA from 1 species
GAUGAACGCUGGCGGCGUGCCUAAUACAUGCAAGUCGAGCGAACCGAUUAAGAGCUUGCUCUUAAGAAGUUAGCGGCGGACGGGUGAGUAACACGUAGGUAACCUGCCUAUAAGACUGGGAUAACUCCGGGAAACCGGGGCUAAUACCGGAUAACAUUUUGCACUGCAUGGUGCGAAAUUGAAAGGCGGCUUCGGCUGUCACUUAUAGAUGGACCUGCGGCGCAUUAGCUAGUUGGUGAGGUAACGGCUCACCAAGGCGACGAUGCGUAGCCGACCUGAGAGGGUGAUCGGCCACACUGGGACGGAGACACGGCCCAGACUCCUACGGGAGGCAGCAGUAGGGAAUCUUCCGCAAUGGACGAAAGUCUGACGGAGCAACGCGGCGUGAGCGAUGAAGGCCUUCGGGUCGUAAAGCUCUGUUGUUAGGGAAGAACAAGUGCUAGUUGAAUAAGCUGGCACCUUGACGGUACCUAACCAGAAAGCCACGGCUAACUACGUGCCAGCCGCCGCCGUAA